UAAGGAAUAUUGGUCAAUGGACGCAAGUCUGAACCAGCCAUGCCGCGUGAAGGAUGAAGGUCCUCUGGAUUGUAAACUUCUUUUAUAUGGGAAGAAACCACUCUUAUCUAAGGGUGUUGACGGUACCAUAGGAAUAAGCACCGGCUAACUCCGUG
rnacentral:rRNA from 1 species